rnacentral:rRNA from 1 species
GAAACUGCGAAUGGCUCGUGUUAAAUCUAUGUAUGCUGAUUAAUUGAUAAUACCCUACUAUAUUUGUUACAGAUUUUUUUUUUUUUUUGGGGUGCGCAAACCCCGACUUCGGAGGGUGUAUAUAUUACAUAAAAAACCAAUACCCUUCGCCGCUCCUUAAUGAUUCAUAAUAACUUCACCAAUCGCAUUGCCUUUCUCCGUCUAUUUUUCAUUCAAAUUUCUUCCCUAUCAAUUUUCUAUUGUACAAUAAUGGCCUACCAUAGUAGCAACUGGUAACGGGGAAUUAAGGUUCCAUUCCCGACACGCAGCCUGAUAAACGGCUACCACAUCCAAGGAAGGCAGCAGGCGCGCAAAUUACCCAAUCCCGAUACGGGGAGGUAGUGACAAUAAAUACUGAUACAGGGCUCUUUUGGGUCUUGUAAUUGGAAUGAGAACAAUCUAAACACCUUAACGAGGAACAAUUGGAGGGCAAGUCUGGUGCCAGCAGCCGCGGUAAUUCCAGCCCCAAUAGCGUAUAUUAAAGUUGUUGCAGUUAAAAAGCUCGUAGAUUGAACCUUGGGCCCGUCCUCCCGGUCCGCCUCCCCGCGAGUACUGGUCCGGAUGGGCCUUUCUUUCUGGGGACCCCAUGGCCUUCAAUGGCUUGUGGGGGGAACCAGGACUUUUACUGUGAAAAAAUUAGAGUGUUCAAAGCGCGCCUUUGCUCGGAUACAUUAGCUUGGAAUAAUAGAAUAGGACGUGCGGUUCUAUUUUGUUGUUUCUAGGACCGCCGUAAUGAUUAAUAGGGAUAGUCGGGGGCGUCAGUAUUCAGCUGUCAGAGGUGAAAUUCUUGGAUUUGCUGAAGACUAACUACUGCGAAAGCAUUCGCCAAGGAUGUUUUCAUUAAUCAGGGAGCGAAAGUUAGGGGAUCGAAGACGAUCAGAUACCGUCGUAGUCUUAACCAUAAACUAUGCCGAUUAGGGGAUCGGGCGGGGGUUUCUAUGAUGACCCGCUCGGCACCUUACGAGAAAUAAAAGUUUUUGGGUUCUGGGGGGAGUAUGGUCGAAAGGCUGAAAUUUAAAGAAAUUGACGGGAGGGCACCAAAAGGCGUGGGAGUGCGGUUUAAUUUGAUUAAACACGGGGAAACUCACCAGGUCAAGAAAAAAUAAGGAUUGACAGAUUGAGAGAUAUUUAUUAAUAUUUUGGAUGGUGGUGAAUGGCCGUUUUUAGUUGGUGGAGUGAUUUGUCUGUUUAAUUGGGAUAAGGAAGGAGACGUGGGCGCUUAAAUAGCCGGGUUCUGCGUUUGCGGGCCGCUGGCUCCUUAGGGGGACUCCUCCCAAAAAAAAAAAAAUUGUGAAAUAACAGGUAUGUGAUGCUC